rnacentral:rRNA from 1 species
ACUCCUACGGGAGGCAGCAGUGGGGAAUAUUGGACAAUGGGCGAAAGCCUGAUGCAGCCAUGCCGCGUGUAUGAAGAAGGCCUUCGGGUUGUAAAGUACUUUCAGUCGUGAGGAAGGGUGUGUAGUUAAUAGCUGCACAUCUUGACGUUAGCGACAGAAGAAGCACCGGCUAACUCCGUGCCAGCAGCCGCGGUAAUACA